rnacentral:tRNA from 1 species
UCCCUGGUGGCUCAGAUGGUAAAGAAUCUGCCUGCAAUGCAGAAGACCCAGGUUCAGUCCUUGGGUUGGGAA